rnacentral:rRNA from 1 species
GGCUCAGAUUGAACGCUGGCGGAAUGCUUUACACAUGCAAGUCGAACGGCAGCACGGACUUCGGUCUGGUGGCGAGUGGCGAACGGGUGAGUAAUAUAUCGGAACGUGCCCAGUCGUGGGGGAUAACGUAGUGAAAAUUACGCUAAUACCGCAUACGAUCUACGGAUGAAAGCGGGGGACUCGCAAGAGCCUCGCGCGAUUGGAGCGGCCGAUAUCAGAUUAGGUAGUUGGUGGGGUAAAGGCUCACCAAGCCAACGAUCUGUAGCUGGUCUGAGAGGACGACCAGCCACACUGGAACUGAGACACGGUCCAGACUCCUACGGGAGGCAGCAGUGGGGAAUUUUGGACAAUGGACGCAAGUCUGAUCCAGCCAUUCCGCGUGCAGGAUGAAGGCCCUCGGGUUGUAAACUGCUUUUGUACGGAACGAAAAGGUUUCUAUUAAUACUAGGAGCUCAUGACGGUACCGUAAGAAUAAGCACCGGCUAACUACGUG